rnacentral:rRNA from 1 species
CAGCCGCCGCGGUAAUACGUAGGUGGCAAGCGUUGUCCGGAAUUAUUGGGCGUAAAGCGCGCGCAGGCGGUUCCUUAAGUCUGAUGUGAAAUCUCGCGGCUCAACCGCGAGCGGCCAUUGGAAACUGGGGAACUUGAGUGCAGGAGAGGGGAGCGGAAUUCCACGUGUAGCGGUGAAAUGCGUAGGGAUGUGGAGGAACACCAGUGGCGAAGGCGGCUCUCUGGCCUGUAACUGACGCUGAGGCGCGAAAGCGUGGGGAGCGAACAGGAUUAGAUACCCUGGUAGUCCACGCCGUAAACGAUGAGUGCUAAGUGUUAGAGGGUAUCCACCCUUUAGUGCUGCAGCAAACGCAUUAAGCACUCCGCCUGGGGAGUACGGCCGCAAGGCUGAAACUUAAAGGAAUUGGCGGG